GACGAACGCUGGCGGCGUGCUUAACACAUGCAAGUCGAACGAAGAGCGAUGGAAGCUUGCUUCUAUCACUCUUAGUGGCGAACGGGUGAGUAACGCGUAAUCAACCUGCCCUUCAGAGGGGGACAACAGUUGGAAACGACUGCUAAUACCGCAUACGAUCUAAUCUCGGCAUCGAGGAUAGAUGAAAGGUGGCCUCUACAUGUAAGCCAUCACUGAAGGAGGGGAUUGCGUCUGAUUAGCUAGUUGGAGGGGUAACGGCCCACCAAGGCGAUGAUCAGUAGCCGGUCUGAGAGGAUGAACGGCCACAUUGGGACUGAGACACGGCCCAGACUCCUACGGGAGGCAGCAGUGGGGAAGCUUCCGCAAUGGACGAAAGUCUGACGGAGCAACGCCGCGUGAGCGAUGACGGCCUUCGGGUUGUAAAGCUCUGUUAAUCGGGACGAAAGGCCUUCUUGCGAAUAGUGAGAAGGAUUGACGGUACCGGAAUAGAAAGCCACGGCUAACUACGUG
rnacentral:rRNA from 1 species